ACKGCUCAGUAACACGUGGCUAACCUACCCUCAAGACAGGGACAACCCCGGGAAACUGGGGCUAAUCCCAGAUAGAUGAGAACUCCUGGAACGGGUUCUCAUCCAAAAGGCACCAAGAUCAUGCUUCUUGGCGUCGCUUAAGGAUGGGGCCGCGUCCGAUCAGGCUGUUGGUGAGGCAACGGCUCACCAAACCUUUAACCGGUACGGGCCGUGGGAGCGGGUGCCCGGAGAUGGGAACUGAGACAAGGUCCCAGGCCCUACGGGGCGCAGCAGUUACGAAAACUUGUCAAUGCACGAAAGUGUGAACGGGCUACCCCGAGUGCCGUCCGCUGAGGAUGGCUUUUCUCCGCUGUAAGGAAGCGGAGGAAUAAGGCGAGGGCAAGUCUGGUGUCAGCCGCCGCGGUAAUACCAGCUCGCCGAGUGGUAGGGAUGAUUAUUGGGCUUAAAGCGUCCGUAGCCGGCCUCUCAAGUCUCUCGUUAAAUCCAGCGAUUCAAUCGUUGGACUGCGGGAGAUACUGUGAGGCUAGGGGGCGGGAGAAGCCGACGGUAUUUCCGGGGUAGGGGUAAAAUCCUAUAAUCCCGGGAAGACCACCAGUGGCGAAGGCGGUCGGCUAGCACGCGCUCGACGGUGAGGGACGAAAGCUGGGGGAGCGAACCGGAUUAGAUACCCGGGUAGUCCCAGCUGUAAACGAUGCGGGCUAGGUGUUGGAGCGGCUACGAGCCGCUUCAGUGCCGCGGGGAAGCCAUUAAGCCCGCCGCCUGGGGAGUACGGCCGCAAGGCUGAAACUUAAAGGAAUUGGCGGGGGAGCAC
rnacentral:rRNA from 1 species